rnacentral:rRNA from 1 species
GACGAACGCUGGCGGCGUGCUUAACACAUGCAAGUCGAACGGUGAAAGCGGAGCUUGCUCCGCUGGAUCAGUGGCGAACGGGUGAGUAACACGUGGGCAACCUGCCCCUCACUUCGGGAUAACUCCGGGAAACCGGGGCUAAUACCGGAUAUGACCUCCUUGGGCAUCCUUGGAGGUGGAAAGUUUUUCGGUGAGGGAUGGGCCCGCGGCCUAUCAGCUUGUUGGUGAGGUAGUGGCUCACCAAGGCGACGACGGGUAGCCGGCCUGAGAGGGCGACCGGCCACACUGGGACUGAGACACGGCCCAGACUCCUACGGGAGGCAGCAGUGGGGAAUAUUGCGUAAUGGGCGAAAGCCUGACGCAGCAACGCCGCGUGCGGGAUGACGGCCUUCGGGUUGUAAACCGCUUUCAGCAGGGAAGAAGCCGCAAGGUGACGGUACCUGCAGAAGAAGCACCGGCUAACUACGUGCCAGCCGCCGCCGUAA